ACAUAAACUAUAUUCCUCUGUAUGGUCUACAUGUAGUGUACUCUUUGCUUGCCAAGUAGUGAGGCUUAGAAACGGUUAUAUUUCAUUGAAAAUAGUCGAAAUUCAACAAACAUUCGGAAACUAUUCCUUCCGUUGCAAAUUGAUAAGGAUUGAUUAUCAUAAAUCAAUUGGUUUUUUGAAUAUAUUUUUCGUCAGCAGAAAUGAUUCAAUUAUCGAUCAUUUUUACACAAUAUUAUUUUUAUUCCCGUCAACUCCUAAAACAUAAAAAGUGGGCCACUCUUUGCUUCACAAUUGUUCAGUCUGACAAAUGUUGCAGUCCAAAUUUUAACAGUUUGUUCUGAUAGAGGUUUCAAUCUUAAUAGACCUUUUAGUGUUUUAGUCGUUUUUCCUUAAUUUUUAUACAUUUAACAAAGUUUUACUGUUAAUUUCCAAUAUUCUCUGUACUCAAAUCCAAGGACGUGAUGACACCGAACCUAGUUUGAAAAACGUUUUCCGUUUGAUUCUUUGAUGUCGAUGAUUUUACAUUUUUUUUUAAAUUUUCGCUUUUUCAGAAGCACAUCUUCAUGAAUUCAUAUCAUUUCAAUGCCAAUGAAAUCGUAUUUGUUGAUACCAAACAGAUUUCGCAAACGGGAUUUACUCAUUUCAUUCACAAUGAAGUUGUUUUGAUUGAAUUGAUAAAUUAUCUGAUUUAUCACAAUCAAUACAAAUAAAUACGUAAAUAAAUAAUGAUGUCACAUUCUUGGAAGAUGAAUUAAAUGUAUACUUUCAUCUCACUUCAGAUUCAAUGAAUUUUAUCAUAGAUAAAUGCAGCAUACGAGCAAAAUUCAUGAAAGAGGAUUCAAUAAAAGAGAUGUAAGAUAGUAUCGAAGCUUCCACUUUUUCAACAUAUAAACCACAAUCCGUUUACUGAUCAUGGUAGCCGAUGCCCUGAACUACAAAAAAUAACCAUAAAUGUACUCACUUAUGGAAUGUACAACGUAAACCUAGCAAUAAACUAAUUACACUCCUGAAAGCAGAGAAAGAUCUGACUACAGCUCAAAUGGAAAAUAAUUUAUCGCUAUUCCAACAUUAAUAUCCAGAGUUUUGACAUACAUUACUCGCAUAAUGGAAAAUCCAUUUAGCUCAAAAUAAAUAACACUUCAAUUCACGAAUUUAUAGUAUCAUUUAUCACACAAAAAUCGAUUUGCUUCUUUAUCACAGAGGAAAGGUACUUAAAUGAUAAAACUGAUAACUUCGUUCAGUUAACACCAGUUUGAUCUCAGGUAUUGUUGAUAGCGAACGUAACAUAGAAGAAAUCGUUAUGGCUUCUUCUAAAUACACUUUUAUUUUGCUUGCUGCGCUUAUUUUAUUAUUGGGUUUGUGCACAUCAGUAAUGAGCGAACCUGAUGUUGGUGUCACUGGAGUGGGACACAUAAUUGAUGCUGGAUGCAGGGAAGGAUACGUUAAAAUUAAUGGAGUUUGUGUAGAAGAUCUUUGAGUAUUUCAUUUUAAAUUAUUCCCUUGGCCAAUCCUUCCAUAUUUACAUCAACUCUUCAAAUUAGUAGUAAAAAUUUAAUAAUUUUUCCAAAGAGAUAGAAACCUUCAUUUUUUUCCUUAAACAAAUUCCAGCUAUUGAGGACAAUCAAUGUACAUCAAACAGUAAUACAAUAAUUUAUAUUGUUAUAUCGUAUUUUAUUUUAAAUAUCAUAUGUAGCAAAGCACAUUAAUAAACCAUAUUGCAUUGA